rnacentral:rRNA from 1 species
GGUGAGUAACGCGUAGGAAUCUACCAAGUAGUGGGGGAUAAGCCAGAGAAAUUUGGUCUAAUACCGCAUACGUUCUUCGGAAGAAAGGAGGGGAUCUUCGGACCUUUCGCUAUUUGAUGAGCCUGCGUGAGAUUAGCUUGUUGGUGAGGUAAUGGCUCACCAAGGCGACGAUCUCUAGCUGGUCUGAGAGGAUGAUCAGCCACACUGGAACUGAGACACGGUCCAGACUCCUACGGGAGGCAGCAGUGGGGAAUAUUGCACAAUGGGCGAAAGCCUGAUGCAGCCAUGCCGCGUGUGUGAAGAAGGCCCUAGGGUUGUAAAGCACUUUCAGCAGUGAGGAAAGGUUAUAAGUUAAUACCUUAUAACUGUAACGUUAACUGCAGAAGAAGCACCGGCUAACUCCGUGCCAGCAGCCGCGGUAAUACGGAGGGUGCGAGCGUUAAUCGAAAUUACUGGGCGUAAAGCGCGCGUAGGUGGAUUGGUCAGUCAGAUGUGAAAGCCCAGGGCUCAACCUUGGAACUGCACCUGAUACUGCCAGUCUAGAAUACGG